rnacentral:rRNA from 1 species
GUCGAACGAGAACGGGUUUAGUUUACUAAACUGUCAGCUAAGUGGCGCACGGGUGAGUAAUGUAUAGUUAACCUGCCCUCUAGAAAGGAAUAACAGUUGGAAACGACUGCUAAUGCCCUAUAUGCCCAUAAUACAUAAGUAUGCUGGGGAAACGCUUUAGUGCUAGAGGAUGGGACUGUAUGGUAUCAGAUAGUUGGUGAGGUAAUGGCUCACCAAGUCAAUGACGCCUAACUGGUUUGAGAGGAUGAUCAGUCACACUGGAACUGAGACACGGUCCAGACUCCUACGGGAGGCAGCAGUGGGGAAUAUUGCACAAUGGAGGAAACUCUGAUGCAGCAACGCCGCGUGGAGGAUGACACUUUUCGGAGCGUAAACUCCUUUUAUAUAGGAAGAUAAUGACGGUACUAUAUGAAUAAGCACCGGCUAACUCCGUGCCAGCAGCCGCGGUAAUACGGAGGGUGCAAGCGUUACUCGGAAUCACUGGGCGUAAAGAGCGUGUAGGCGGGUUAUUAAGUCAGAAGUGAAAUCCUAUGGCUCAACCAUAGAACUGCUUUUGAAACUGGUAACCUAGAGUAUGGGAGAGGUAGAUGGAAUUUCUGGUGUAGGGGUAAAAUCCGUAGAGAUCAGAAGGAAUACCGAUUG